UAAGGUAGCCAUUUUGUGUGUGAGGUUGGUGUGAUGUGAAAGAGUGUGGGAGCUUAUUUUACGGCUUGUAAUUAUUUAAAAAUUAAAAAGCGAUAAAAUCUGUUUGAGCAGUGUGGUCGAAAAAUAUAUCGGUAUAAGAUCUUGCAGGUAAGAGGAAAGUAUCAAUGCAGUGUUGGCCGACAGCGGGAUACGUAAUUUUGUCGUGCGAGACAAACUUAGCACAAUGUGCACACUAAAGAAGAGGUUUAAGAUAUGCAAGGAUGUAUACAGACCAGUACAGAGGAGCAAUUUGCACUUGGAUCUGCACCCACAGCCACAAGACUGAUUACAUUUUGCUUGAACUUAAGGUUAUGCAGGAAGCAUUCAGUUUUUCCAGCUGUUACUGCAGAAUUUACAACUGCCAUUACACAGUGUAAAAGUAUUGGUGUUGUGCGUACUUUAUGUACGGACAUGAAGAAACUAUUCACUUCAGAACUGAAGAAUUUGUUAUGAGCCUUGAGUCAUGCUUAAAGACAGAAGGGGCAGUGUUCUAACAGUUUUUAUAGAAUGUGUAAGUUUGUGUUGGGACCGAGGAAACUUGUCACCCUGCAUUUGCAAGCAGCAAGUUUCCAUCUCAGCUGAAAGCCCACUAGCAGUAUUAGGCUUCUAAUUUAAAUCUUCUGGCCUCUUUCUUUGUUAACAGUUCCUAAGAGACGUUUGUAUUCACUGUUUGGUGCCCACUGUUCUUUUAUUGUGGAGCAGUGAGAAUGGAAGUAGUGUCACCCUCACCUUCAAGGAGUUCAUGAACUUCAGGCUGAAGAUGGACAAUCUCAAAGUUUCUGCCAUGACUGCAGGAAAAAUGCUUCAUAAUACAGUGCAGGGAGUUCUGUGUACAUAGCCCAUGUGAACAGUGCUGGAGUGGCAUCACUGAAGAAGUUGCUGUUCUGAGUGAUGGAGGAUGCGGGACCCAGGUUACUGCAUCCAUGAAGGUCCUACCUCACGCCCUCCUCAUGGACACGCUUUACUUCGCAUCAGGGAAAGAUCGCCAGGGAGAUCCCCAGUUGCCUCCACUAGACGUGCACGGAAUGUCGGCAACUAAUCGUCAGAUUGUACUGUUUGUUUGAGGUGCUGGCGAGACUUGGGUGAAGAAAUUGCCAGCCCAGGUGAUGAGGCGUCACGUUCUAAAUGUACCAGAAGAAUGAAGGUAGUCCCACGUUACUGUCCACAUCAAUGUAAAGGAGCUCAUCAGCUUUCAGCUGAGAGUGGGGCAUCCAGGAGGUCUUCCCUUCGAGUCCUGUCGCACCACAGCUGUGAAAAGUUCCUACAGGGAAGGUGCAUGCAGUGUUGGUUGUGAUUGUGACUGUGUUGAGAAACACAGAAUUGAUAACGCCGAGUUCAGUGUUGAGAUUCAGUGGGUAAUGCACUGAACUGCAGAAUGAGGACUUCCAUAAUUUGUACCGUUAACAAUAUCGUUUUAGCAGGGUUACUGACUCGAGGAGGAUGAGAUGAGCUGGGCAUGUAGCAUGUAUGGGUUUGCUGAGACGUGUGGACAUUAGUUAGGUCACAAGACCUAAAAGGAAGCCUACCUGGGAGACCUGGGUGUAGAUGGUAGGAUACUCCUGG